UUUUAGAUGAACGAGCUAAAAGAGAUAAAAGAAUUCUCUUGAGUCAUUGAUAUCAUUAUCCGCAAUAAAUGAGCAAUUGAAAGCAGUGUCACUGACUAGUGACUACUGGUAAUCCCUAUGUUCUUUUUUGAUAUGAUGUUUGAAGAAAUAAGGAGUGGAUGCAGAAUGAAGGACAAUGAAAUACUAAAGCUAGGAGAAGAUUUGAAGGUAAAAGAGAAAACAUGCAGAAAUAAGAAAGUAAAGGUUUCAACAUCGCUAAUUGAUUAUCUUAUCUGGAUGGGAAAUUGACCAUAACAAUAUUGGGGAGCCUAAAUUAUAGGUGCUGGCCUAAUCAUCAUCACCAACAACAUAUUCUGGUUGGAACUACUUACAGUUACACAUGCUCUUUAUAUCACUAUAUAUAAAGCUAUUUAUUUAUUUGAAAG